AUAAUAAAUAGCCAUGCACCCAUACAACGUUACUGACUCAGCCGGAACGUAUGUACGAUGCUUAUGGUUUCAACUUUCCCUGUUUCUUUUGGUUUCACAAUUUUGAGGAUAAACUGAAACUACAUUUCCUUCAUGCAGUGUUUACGAAUGAGACAUUUUGCAAGGAUCGAGACAUAUGAUUGAUUGAUUGAAGAUGAUUUCUUCUUUUGGGGAUUUUUAAUGUUGCUAGAGACACCUCAAAGCAACUUGGAGCAGAUAUCAAUCUCUUAGAUGCCAAUGUGCUGUCAAGACAAAUGGUAAAACAUUGGCUGGUAUUGAUUAUGUAACAAAUGGUAGGCCAAACCCACCACAUAAUCACCGUUGAGUUGAGCUGCAGAGAUACUUACAUUCUUGGAUAGAACACUUUUUGUUGGUUGUCACAUCUAAUUCUGAUCAUGGUUUUUUCAUUAACUUGUGUUUAGGAGAGUAUCUGAUUUAAGUAAAGGUUUUAUAAAUUUUUAAAAACUUCUGACCAAUACCUUGAAAAACUUUUACUAAAAACUUUACUUUGAUAAACCUUACUUUACUCUUAUCAAACAAUCUAAAAAUAUUAAUGCGAAUUUUGAUACAUUGCAGUAAUGUGAAUUCCAUAUGGUGAAGAAUUGCUCAAUACAGAUGCACAUAAUAAUAAAAAUAUCCAUAUGAAAACUCCAAACUCCAUUUAUUUUGAGAAAAAUAACUUCCUUAUGUAUAAAAACAUUUUUCAUUAUUU
rnacentral:misc_RNA from 1 species